rnacentral:rRNA from 1 species
AGAGUUUGAUCCUGGCUCAGGAUGAACGCUAGCGACAGGCUUAACACAUGCAAGUCGAGGGGCAUCAUGAGGUAGCAAUACCUUGAUGGCGACCGGCGCACGGGUGAGUAACGCGUAUGCAACCUGCCCGAUACCGGGGUAUAGCCCAUGGAAACGUGGAUUAACACCCCAUAGUACUUUUAUCCUGCAUGGGAUGUGAGUUAAAUGUUCAAGGUAUCGGAUGGGCAUGCGUCCUAUUAGUUAGUUGGCGGGGUAACAGCCCACCAAGACGAUGAUAGGUAGGGGUUCUGAGAGGAAGGUCCCCCACAUUGGAACUGAGACACGGUCCAAACUCCUACGGGAGGCAGCAGUGAGGAAUAUUGGUCAAUGGACGUAAGUCUGAACCAGCCAAGUCGCGUGAGGGAAGACUGCCCUAUGGGUUGUAAACCUCUUUUAUAAGGGAAGAAUAAGUUCUACGUGUAGAAUGAUGCCUGUACCUUAUGAAUAAGCAUCGGCUAACUCCGUGCCAGCAGCCGCGGUAAUACGGAGGAUGCGAGCGUUAUCCGGAUUUAUUGGGUUUAAAGGGUGCGUAGGCGGUUUAUUAAGUUAGUGGUUAAAUAUUUGAGCUAAACUCAAUUGUGCCAUUAAUACUGGUAAACUGGAGUACAGACGAGGUAGGCGGAAUAAGUUAAGUAGCGGUGAAAUGCAUAGAUAUAACUUAGAACUCCGAUAGCGAAGGCAGCUUACCAGACUGUAACUGACGCUGAUGCACGAGAGCGUGGGUAGCGAACAGGAUUAGAUACCCUGGUAGUCCACGCCGUAAACGAUGCUCACUGGUUCUGUGCGAUAUAUUGUACGGGAUUAAGCGAAAGUAUUAAGUGAGCCACCUGGGGAGUACGUCGGCAACGAUGAAACUCAAAGGAAUUGACGGGGGCCCGCACAA